rnacentral:lncRNA from 1 species
GGGGGGAAAUAUUUGGAAUCCACAUAUCGGACGAAGAACUAGUAUCUAGAAUAUAUACAUAAUUUAAAAUGCAACACUUUUUAAAAAAAGAAACAGUACAGUUAGGAAAACAGCAAAGGGCAUGAACAGAUAUUUUACCUAAGAUAAUGUAAAAUGGCAACUAAGUACAUGAAAAGAUAUUCAACAUCAGUAGACAUUAAGAAAAUAAAAUUUAAACCGAUAAUUAAAUAAUACUACACACACAAAUAACAGAAUGGCUAAUAUGAAAAAUAGUGACAACAUUAAAUACUUGUGAGGAGGCAGAAAACCAGAAAAACAUAUUGCUGGUGGGAAUGGAAAAUGGUACAGCCACUUGUAAAAAUAAUUGUUUGGGGCUGGGAGCUGUGGCUCACACCUGUAAUCUCAGCACUUUGGGAGGCCAAGGCGGGCAGAUCACCUAAAGUCAGGAGUUUGAGACCAGCUGGCCAAUAUGGGGAAACCUCAUCUCUACUAAAAAUACAAAAAAAAAAAAAAAUAGCUUGGCAUGGUGGCAGGUGCCUGUAAUCCCAGCUACUUGGGAGACUGAGGCGGGAGAAUCGCUUGAACCUGGUAGGCAGAGGUUGCAGUGAGCCGAGAUUGCACCACUGCGCUCCAGCCUGGGUGCAAGAGAAUGAGACUCCCUCAGAAAAUAAAUAAAUAAAUAAAUAAAAAAGAAAGGAAAAAAAAAGGAAAAGCUAAGAAAAAAUUGUUUGCCAGUUUCUUGUAAAACUGCACAUGCAAUUACCAUAUUACCCAGCAAUUGAAAUCUUGUUCAUUUGUCCCACAGCAAUGAAAUUCCAUGUUCAUCAAAAAACCUGCAUAUGAAUGCCAAUAUAGCAGCUGUACUUGUGAUAACCUAAAACUGGAAACAGCCAAGAUUUCCUUCAAAAGAGGAAUGGUUAAACAAUGAGAGGCUAAAACAUGACCACGGGGGAGAACACCUCCAGCCAUACACUGAAAACCAAGAGUGUCUUUGUUCACAUGAUAAGUCACCCACGUCUGUCCCAGGAAAUUCCUACCCAGGAAGAUAAGGCUACAAAGCAAGAAAUAACUUUAUUGCUUUCUGCAGAAAUUUUGUACAAAUUAAUUUUAUUAGAUAAAUUGCUCUUCUCUCAAAGCAAUAGAUUAUUAACUGGGGCAAACAACUCACUUAUCAAUAAAUUCAUUUACUUAUCCAGACCCAUUUUCAGGUUCUCAUUUGGCUAUGUUCACCAGUUUGAAAUAUGAUGCCAACAACUUUACCUAAUCAUAGUCAGAUCCCCAUCUUAAAUAAUGCAUUAUGUCACUUGAGCCACGAUUGCAAAAUCAUAUAAACUUUCUCCCUGCUCUCCCCUUCUGAGACUACACUUCUGUCAAGAGAGUGAUCUUCCUUAUUACCAUAGAUCUGAUAAACUGAGUUUAACUUGAUCAACAGAUUAAGGAUGAGCUUAACUUGAUCAACCUCAUAUAUAUGGGAAUUGCAAAUUGUAAUGAAAUUAGGGUAGAAAUCUGUUUUCUACCUGGACAAUCAGAAGGUUAGAUAUGUCAAAAUAGUAAAUUAUUAUAAGCAAAAGUAUUUUUAGUAUGUUGUAUUUUAUGAAAGUUGAAUUUCUAUAUAUUAUAAUUU